UACGUAGGGUGCGAGCGUUGUCCGGAAUUACUGGGCGUAAAGAGCUCGUAGGUGGUUUGUCGCGUUGUUCGUGAAAACUCACAGCUCAACUGUGGGCGUGCGGGCGAUACGGGCAGACUUGAGUACUGCAGGGGAGACUGGAAUUCCUGGUGUAGCGGUGGAAUGCGCAGAUAUCAGGAGGAACACCGGUGGCGAAGGCGGGUCUCUGGGCCGAUACUGACGCUGAGGAGCGAAAGCGUGGGGAGCGAACAGG
rnacentral:rRNA from 1 species